rnacentral:rRNA from 1 species
UACGUAGGGGGCAAGCGUUAUCCGGAUUCACUGGGUGUAAAGGGAGCGUAGACGGCCAUGCAAGCCUGGAGUGAAAGCCCGGGGCCCAACCCCGGGACUGCUCUGGGAACUGUGUGGCUGGAGUGCGGGAGGGGCAGGCGGAAUUCCUGGUGUAGCGGUGAAAUGCGUAGAUAUCAGGAGGAACACCGGCGGCGAAGGCGGCCUGCUGGGCUUUUACUGACACUGAGGCUCGAAAGUGUGGGGAGCAAACAGG